GACGAACGCUGGCGGCGUGCUUAACACAUGCAAGUCGAACGAAAAGAGGGAAAGAGCUUGCUCUUUCCGGAAUUGAGUGGCAAACGGGUGAGUAACACGUAAACAACCUGCCUUCAGGAUGGGGACAACAGACGGAAACGACUGCUAAUACCGAAUAAGUUCCAAGGGCCGCAUGGCCCAUGGAAGAAAAGGUGGCCUCUACCUGUAAGCUAUCGCCUGAAGAGGGGUUUGCGUCUGAUUAGCUGGUUGGAGGGGUAACGGCCCACCAAGGCGACGAUCAGUAGCCGGUCUGAGAGGAUGAACGGCCACCCUGGAACUGAGACACGGUCCAGACUCCUACGGGAGGCAGCAGUGGGGAAUCUUCCGCAAUGGGCGAAAGCCUGACGGAGCAACGCCGCGUGAGUGAUGACGGCCUUCGGGUUGUAAAACUCUGUGAUCCGGGACGAAAAGGCAGAGUGCGAAGAACAAACUGCAUUGACGGUACCGGAAAAGCAAGCCACGGCUAACUACGUG
rnacentral:rRNA from 1 species